rnacentral:lncRNA from 1 species
GGCUGGCUUCUGCUCUGACCUCCCAUGGCCUGGGGCUGGGUUUAGUCUCUGUCUGUCUGUCUGUCAUGUGUUGUAAGUGUGUGUCUGUCUCUGCAGAUCUCCCCUGUUGUGUACCUGUGAGUGUAUGGGGGUGGGCGGGCGUGUACAUUGUGAGUCUGACUGGGCCUGCCGCUUUCUGUGUGCGUGAGAGAAUGUGGGAGCGUGGGUGUGGGUGAGUGUGCACAGGCUUCAGGCUCUUUCUAAGAACAUGAGGAAAGCAGGCGGGGACCCCCGUGGGCACUCCCUCCCCCCCAUUUCCUGCUGUCUGGUCUGCUCUGCUCUGGUCUGCAGAUGGCUCUGAGGAGUCAGACCGGGAAGCCCCAUCUCACUGCCUGGAAAAUGGGCCAAGGCCUGAUUCCUCACAUCAACACCGGGAACAGAAGAGCCAGAGGCGCAGACCGCCUCCCAGCCCUACCCAGUCUGACUGUGGUCCUGUCUAGGAGCUUGGGACGAUGCCUGCACGCACACAAACGUGCAAACAUUCAUGUGCACACAUCCACGCAUGUGCACACCCACUCACAGCACCUACAUACACACUCAGGCGUGUGCAUGCCCACUCACAAUUCCUACAUACACACUCACGCAUGUGCACACCCUCACAAAACCUACAUACACACUCACGCACGUGCACACCCACUCACAAUACAUACAUACACACCCAUGCGUGUGCACACCCACUCACAGCACCUACAUACACACUCAUGCGUGUGCACUCCCACUCACAAUACCUACAUACACACUCAGGUGUGUGCACGCCCACUCACAAUAUAUACAUACACACUCAUGCAUGUGCACACCCACUCAGAAUACCUACAUACACACUCAUGCAUGUGCACACCCCUCACAAAACCUACAUACACACUCAGGCAUGUGCACACAUUCACACAUAUAAAUAAAAGCAAUAUACAUACACACACACCACAAACACACCCAUUGACACACAUGCACCAUACAUACAAACAUACACACACUCAUUCAUACACAUGCACACGCACAUAUAAACACAAUGCACAUGCACAUACACAC